AAACUAUAUAACCUCAUACCGUAUGACUUGCUAAUUUAAUCUCUACAGUUUGUUACAGCACAUAAUAGUUGAUAUUUGGGACUUUACUUUGGAUUGCCCCAGUAACUCAUAUGUUCAUUCUAUUUUAUCCCACCAAUUAAAAACAAUAUAAAUUUUAAUAUAUUUUAAUCAGAAACGUGGUGAAAAUCGAAAUUGCCCUUAAUGAAACCAAGUAUUUACAGGAUCCAACCUAAACUAUUUGACUCGACCCACUAUUAGCCGGAU
rnacentral:lncRNA from 1 species